GGUAACGGCCCACCAAGGGGACGAUCAGUAGGGGUUCUGAGAGGAAGGUCCCCCACAUUGGAACUGAGACACGGUCCAAACUCCUACGUGAGGCAGCAGGGAGGAAUAUUGGUCAAUGGGCGAGAGCCUGAACCAGCCAAGUAGCGUGCAGGAUGACGGCCCUAUGGGUUGUAAACUGCUUUUAUAAGGGAAUAAAGUGAGUCUCGUGAGAUUUUUUGCAUGUACCUUAUGAAUAAGGACCGGCUAAUUCCGUGCCAGCAGCCGCGGUAAUACGGAAGGUCCGGGCGUUAUCCGGAUUUAUUGGGUUUAAAGGGAGCGUAGGCCGGAGAUUAAGCGUGUUGUGAAAUGUAGAUGCUCAACAUCUGCACUGCAGCGCGAACUGGUUUCCUUGAGUACGCACAAAGUGGGCGGAAUUCGUGGUGUAGCGGUGAAAUGCUUAGAUAUCACGAAGAACUCCGAUUGCGAAGGCAGCUCACUGGAGCGCAACUGAUGCUGAAGCUCGAAAGUGCGGGUAUCGAACAGGAUUAGAUACCCUGGUAGUCCGCACGGUAAACGAUGGAUGCCCGCUGUUGGUCUGAAUAGGUCAGCGGCCAAGCGAAAGCAUUAAGCAUCCCACCUGGGGAGUA
rnacentral:rRNA from 1 species